rnacentral:tRNA from 1 species
AUCAGAGUGACGCAGCGGAAGCGUGGUGGGUCCAUAACCCAUAGGUUCCUGGAUCGAAACUAGGCUCUAAUA